rnacentral:lncRNA from 1 species
AUGAAGAGAUGUUUUUAGGCGAUUUUCUUAAUAAAUGAAUUUGCAAGGAAAUCAACAUGGUGCUAUUAACAAGGUGUUGAAGGUUCAAUUUGGCAGUUGGCCAAAGAAUAUGUAGCCUUUACCUUUGGGAAUUCUUCAAGCUCUAGCAGAUGGUUGAAUACACAUUGGGUUAUUGAGCCAUUUGUGAUUGCAACGAAUAGGCAAACGAGUGUGUUCCACCCGAUCCGUAAACUUCUUCAACCUCAUUUAAGGGAUACAAUGAGCACCAAUGCUUUCAGAAGGCAAAUCUUAUCAAUGGUGGGGGGACACGUGUACUAGACGGCAUCCGCCCUUCCUGCAGCAAUCAAUAUUGAACAAUAUUCUUAUGUUGGAUAUUUCCCUAAUCGUCCUACUCUAAGUCCCGUCUAACGCCUGAACCAAACACACCAGAAUAUUAGGAGCUUAAAGAGAACCCAGAUGGUGUCUUACAUGUAAACUAUUCUCAAAUAGCAAAGAGGGUCUUACAGGAAUGGGAAUCCCAGAUAGUGUUUUGAAAUGAAUCCAUACAUGUAAACUAUUCUCAUUUCGGCUUGUUUAUAUGGUUUGUUUGUUGUAAUUUCUCUUGAUUCCACGAGAUUCAAAUGAAU